rnacentral:lncRNA from 1 species
GGAUGAACUACACUUUUUACUGAAAUCUGCUUCUGUACCAAUUGUACAAGCAACCAUCUUAGAUGUUUUUAGAAAUCAUAAUCUGUCAGUUGACGAGGCUGUGAUAAAAGAACUUGCUUGUGCUGUGUGUGUAUCCAACCCAGUAGGACAGUGUUUUGGAAAGGAUGGACCUUUAGCGACAGCCUUCAAAAGAAAAAAGUUCUACAAAGAAAAUUUCAAUGUCAUUGAACCAGUCGAAUACAUUUUAGACACUAAUAAGAACAGAACAUUUCAAUAUAUUCCAAUUUUACAAUCUUUACAGCAGUUACUGAGCAAGGAGCACAUUUUGGAUCAGGUGAUUGGGAGUAAAAUUGCACAAGAGAAGACCUCUGUAGCAAGUUGUGCUUCUGAUGGUCAUCUGUUCAAGUCUUUUCAAGAUGGACUGUUCUACAGUCAGAGCGAUUUUUGGUCUCAAGGGGAGUUGAGAAUCUCUUUAAAUCUGUAUAUAGAUGACUUUGAAAUUUGUAACCCACUUGGAACCUCCCGCAAAAAGCACAAACUCUGUGGAGUGUACUGGAUCUUAAAUAAUCUCCCCCCUGGCUCUCAUUCAGCACUUUAUUCAAUAUACCUGGCAGUACUUUGCAAAACAGAUGAUGUCAAAACAUUUGGAUUUGAAAAAGUGCUUGAACCCCUUCUGCACGAUCUCCAUAUUUUAGAGGAACAAGGUGUGUAUAUAUCUCAUAUUGGUGAGUGUGUAAAGGGCACAGUGCAGUGUGUUGUGGCUGACAAUCUAGCUGCACAUGGAUUAGGUGGGUUUGUCGAAAGUUUUUCAGGAAACUUCAUAUGCAGAUUUUGUACAGCACAGAAACAUGAGAUUCAAACCCAUAGUGUUUCAUCUGGGACUUUCAGGCUUCGCACAAAAGAUGAUCAUGAAGAACAUGUGAAGUGUGCAGAAGAAACCUAUAGUCAUUGCUUUGGGGUAAAGAGGUCUUGUGUCCUAACCAAGCACCUUUCACAUUUCCAAGUCUUAAAAGGCUAUCCUCCUGAUAUCGUGCACGAUAUCUUUGAAGGUGUAGUGCCGGUAGAGCUGGCGUGUUGCCUCUCUGUAUUUAUUUCAAAGAAAUAUUUUUCACUGGAUUUUCUGAACCAGUUGAUUCUGAAGUUUCCGUACAAGUGGGGUGACAAAACAAAUAAGCCUCAUGUCAUACCACACACACUUUCAACCAAGAAAUCCAUAGGUGGCAAUGCCCAUGAAA